rnacentral:snRNA from 1 species
AGCUUUGUGCAGUGGCAGUAUUGUAGCCAAUGAGGUUUAUCCAAGGCGCAAUUAUUGCUAAUUGAAA